rnacentral:rRNA from 1 species
GGGGAGUGACGUCAAUCAUCAUGCCCCUUAUGACCUGGGCUACACACGUGCUACAAUGGGCGGUACAAAGGGUCGCGAACCCGCGAGGGGGAGCCAAUCCCAAAAAGCCGCUCUCAGUUCGGAUUGCAGGCUGCAACUCGCCUGCAUGAAGCCGGAAUCGCUAGUAAUCGCGGAUCAGCAUGCCGCGGUGAAUACGUUCCCGGGCCUU